rnacentral:rRNA from 1 species
AUUGAACGCUGGCGGCAGGCUUAACACAUGCAAGUCGAGCGGGGUGAUGGUGCUUGCACUAUCACUUAGCGGCGGACGGGUGAGUAAUGCUUAGGAAUCUGCCUAUUAGUGGGGGACAACAUCUCGAAAGGGAUGCUAAUACCGCAUACGUCCUACGGGAGAAAGCAGGGGAUCACUUGUGACCUUGCGCUAAUAGAUGAGCCUAAGUCGGAUGAGCUAGUUGGUGGGGUAAAGGCCUACCAAGGCGACGAUCUGUAGCGGGUCUGAGAGGAUGAUCCGCCACACUGGGACUGAGACAUGGCCCAGACUCCUACGGGAGGCAGCAGUGGGGAAUAUUGGACAAUGGGGGGAACCCUGAUCCAGCCAUGCCGCGUGUGUGAAGAAGGCCUUAUGGUUGUAAAGCACUUUAAGCGAGGAGGAGGCUCUUUUGGUUAAUACCCAAGAUGAGUGGACGUUACUCGCAGAAUAAGCACCGGCUAACUCUGUGCCAGCCGCCGCAGUAA